rnacentral:pre_miRNA from 13 species
CACCUCCGGAGUAUAUUAAUGGCUGCAAUCAACAUUCAUUGCUGUCGGUGGGUUUUUGUCUGAAUCAACUCACUGAUCAAUGAAUGCAAACUGCGGACCAGAUAUCUGAGGGAAACGGC